rnacentral:rRNA from 1 species
ACCGGCGAUGGGGACUAAGUCGUAACAAGGUAUCCCUACUGGAAGGUGGGGAUGGAUCACCUCCUUU